rnacentral:tRNA from 1 species
UGGCACAGUGGUUUAAGCAUUUGGCUGCUAACCGAAAGGUUGGUGGUUCGAACCCACC